rnacentral:rRNA from 1 species
UACGGGGGGAGCAAGCGUUGUUCGGAUUUACUGGGCGUAAAGCGCGCGUAGGCGGCCUGCACAGGUCGGUUGUGAAAUCUCCGGGCUUAACUCGGAAAGGUCAACCGAUACUGCGCGGCUAGAGUGCGGAAGGGGCAACUGGAAUUCUCGGUGUAGCGGUGAAAUGCGUAGAUAUCGAGAGGAACACCUGCGGCGAAGGCGGGUUGCUGGGCCGACACUGACGCUGAGGCGCGAAAGCCAGGGGAGCGAACGGG